rnacentral:rRNA from 1 species
UACGGGGGGAGCAAGUGUUGUUCGGAUUUACUGGGCGUAAAGAGCGCGUAGGCGGCCCGAUAAGUCCACUGUGAAAGUCAAGGGCUUAACCCUUGAAUGCCGGUGGAAACUGUCGGGCUAGAGUCCGGAAGAGGCGAGUGGAAUUCCUGGUGUAGCGGUGGAAAUGCGCAGAUAUCAGGAGGAACACCGAUGGCGAAGGCAGCUCGCUGGGACGGUACUGACGCUGAGGCGCGAAAGCGUGGGGAGCAAACAGG